GAUGAACGCUGGCGGCGUGCCUAACACAUGCAAGUCGAGCGAACCUUUCGGGGUGAGCGGCGGACGGGUGAGUAACGCGUGGGUAACCUGCCCUGUACACACGGAUAACAUACCGAAAGGUAUGCUAAUACGGGAUAACAUAUGAGAGUCGCAUGGCUUUCAUAUCAAAGCUCCGGCGGUACAGGAUGGACCCGCGUCUGAUUAGCUAGUUGGUAAGGUAACGGCUUACCAAGGCAACGAUCAGUAGCCGACCUGAGAGGGUGAUCGGCCACAUUGGAACUGAGACACGGUCCAAACUCCUACGGGAGGCAGCAGUGGGGAAUAUUGCACAAUGGGCGAAAGCCUGAUGCAGCAACGCCGCGUGAGCGAUGAAGGCCUUCGGGUCGUAAAGCUCUGUCCUCAAGGAGGAUAAUGACGGUACUUGAGGAGGAAGCCCCGGCUAACUACGUGCCAGCCGCCGCCGUAA
rnacentral:rRNA from 1 species